rnacentral:RNase_P_RNA from 1 species
GGAGUCGGCCAGGCAGUCGCGUCAUCCUUCGGGGAUGCCGAGGAAAGUCCGGGCUCCACAGGGCACGGUGCCAGGUAACGCCUGGGCGGCGCGAGCCGACGGAAAGUGCAACAGAAAGAUACCGCCGAUGGCCCUGUCACCCCUUUGCCGCCGCGGCCGACGCGGCCCGGCAUCGGACUUGUCGGCGCAGCCGACCAAGUCUCUUUCGGAGGCGGCAAAGGGGUGGCAGGGCACAGGCAAGGGUGAAAUGGUGCGGUAAGAGCGCACCGCGAGCCUGGCAACAGGCCGGCACGGCAAACCCCACCGGGAGCAAGACCAAAUAGGGAGACGAUGAGGCGGCCCGCCGAGUCUCCGGGUAGGUUGCUCGAGCGUAGCGGUGACGCUGCGCCUAGAGGAAUGGCUGCCACGGCGCGCAAGCGCCGACAGAACCCGGCUUAUCGGCCGGCUCCGCCG